rnacentral:rRNA from 1 species
AACGAACGCUAGCGGCGUGCCUAACACAUGCAAGUCGAGCGAGAAAGUCCCGGCAACGGGAUGAGUAAAGCGGCAAACGGGUGAGUAACGCGUGGGUAAUCUACCCUACGGAUCGGGAUAACCUGCCGAAAGGUGGACUAAUACCGGAUGAUGUUCUCGCGGUGAUUCCGUGGGAACCAAAGGGGGCGAGCGUAAGCAGCUCUCACCGAAGGAGGAGCCUGCGUCCGAUUAGCUAGUUGGUGGGGUAAUGGCCUACCAAGGCGACGAUCGGUAGCCGGCCUGAGAGGGCGAUCGGCCACACUGGAACUGAGACACGGUCCAGACUCCUACGGGAGGCAGCAGUGGGGAAUAUUGCGCAAUGGGCGAAAGCCUGACGCAGCGACGCCGCGUGGGUGAUGAAGGCCUUCGGGUCGUAAAGCCCUGUCUGGUGGAACGAAACGCCUGGCGGCUAAUACCUGCCGGGUUUGACGGUACGACCGAAGGAAGCCCCGGCUAACUACGUGCCAGCAGCCGCGGUAAGACGUAGGGGGCGAGCGUUGUUCGGAUUUACUGGGCGUAAAGCGCGCGUAGGCGGCCAGAUAAGUCGGGUGUGAAAGCCCUCGGCUCAACCGAGGUUCCACAUCCGAUACUGCUUGGCUGGAGUCUAGGAGAGGAGAGCGGAAUUCCCAGUGUAGCGGUGAAAUGCGUAGAUAUUGGGAGGAACACCCGUGGCGAAGGCGGCUCUCUGGACUAGUACUGACGCUGAGGCGCGAAAGCUAGGGGAGCGAACGGGAUUAGAUACCCCGGUAGUCCUAGCCGUAAACGAUGGGCACUAGGUGUGGGAGGUAUUGACCCCUUCCGCGCCGAAGCUAACGCAUUAAGUGCCCCGCCUGGGGAGUACGGCCGCAAGGCUAAAACUCAAAGGAAUUGACGGGGCCCGCACAAGCGGUGGAGCAUGUGGUUCAAUUCGACGCAACGCGAAGAACCUUACCAGGGCUUGACAUCCCACGAACCUGCCUGAAAGGGCGGGGUGCCCGCAAGGGAGCGUGGAGACAGGUGGUGCAUGGCUGUCGUCAGCUCGUGUCGUGAGAUGUUGGGUUAAGUCCCGCAACGAGCGCAACCCUCACCCCUAGUUGCCACCGGGUAAUGCCGAGCACUCGAGGGGAACUGCCAGCGUCAAGCUGGAGGAAGGCGGGGAUGACGUCAAGUCAUCAUGCCCCUUACGCCCUGGGCUACACACGUGCUACAAUGGCCGGUACAAAGGGAUGCGAGGCCGUGAGGUGGAGCCAAUCCCAAAAAGCUGAUCUAAGUUCGGAUUGCAGUCUGCAACUCGACUGCAUGAAGUAGGAAUCGCUAGUAAUCGCGCAUCAGCACGGCGCGGUGAAUACGUUCCCGGGCCUUGUACACACCGCCCGUCACACCACGAAAGCUGGCUGUACUCGAAGUCGCUGAGCCAACCCGCAAGGGAGGCAGGCGCCGAAGGUAUGGUUAGUGAUUGGGGUG